rnacentral:rRNA from 1 species
UGGGGAAUCUUGGACAAUGGGCGCAAGCCUGAUCCAGCCAUGCCGCGUGAGUGAAGAAGGCCUUAGGGUUGUAAAGCUCUUUUACCAGGGACGAUAAUGACGGUACCUGGAGAAUAAGCCCCGGCAAACUUCGUGCCAGCAGCCGCGGUAAUACGAAGGGGGCUAGCGUUGUUCGGAAUUACUGGGCGUAAAGCGCACGUAGGCGGGUCGUUAAGUCAGGGGUGAAAUCCCGGAGCUCAACUCCGGAACUGCCUUUGAUACUGGCGAUCUAGAGAUCGGAAGAGGUUAGUGGAGUUCCCAGUGUAGAGGUGAAAUUCGUAGAUAUUGGGAAGAACACCAGUGGCGAAGGCGGCUAACUGGUCCGAUACUGACGCUGAGGUGCGAAAGCGUGGGGAGCAAACAG